rnacentral:lncRNA from 1 species
ACCAGAGGAUGUGGGUGGCUCUGAGAGGAGCGGGAGCAGCAUCUGAAGUGAGAAGGGUUUCAGAUCAAGAACAAUGGAAAAAAUCGUUCCAGAUGUGCAGGAAAACUUGGAAUCCAGCCAGAUCCACCCAGCCCAGCAAUAAUCAGAUAAAGGGAAGGAAGAGAAAGGGAGGAGACUGGAGAGUGGAGGGUUCAGAGAAAUAUAGAAACACAGAGGAACAGCAUCAGAGACAGACAGAAAGACUGAGACAGAGACAGAGAGCAAAGGAAGAAAGGACGAGGGGAGUAAUCGGCAACCUGGCCACACUCUGCCUUGGGAAAAUCUCACCAUAUUGGUACCAGACUUUGUUUGGAUGUCCAAUAAGCAUAGCCCACUGAAGAGAAGAAUUCCUGAACACAAAGCAUCCGUCAGUCAGUCUUAGCUUUCUCAGGAGCUAAGAUUACAGGCAUGGACUGUCACAUCCACCAGUAGGCUCUCUACAUUAUGCCUCAUUCAAAAGGAAGAGAAGGUAAGUCUAGGUAACAGUUUAUCUAGAAGACAUAAAUAACAUUC